AUUGAACGCUGGCGGCAGGCCUAACACAUGCAAGUCGAACGGUAACAGGAAGAAGCUUGCUUCUUUGCUGACGAGUGGCGGACGGGUGAGUAAUGUCUGGGAAACUGCCUGAUGGAGGGGGAUAACUACUGGAAACGGUAGCUAAUACCGCAUAACGUCGCAAGACCAAAGAGGGGGACCUUCGGGCCUCUUGCCAUCGGAUGUGCCCAGAUGGGAUUAGCUAGUAGGUGGGGUAACGGCUCACCUAGGCGACGAUCCCUAGCUGGGCUGAGAGGGUGACCAGCCACACUGGAACUGAGACACGGUCCAGACUCCUACGGGAGGCAGCAGUGGGGAAUAUUGCACAAUGGGCGCAAGCCUGAUGCAGCCAUGCCGCGUGUAUGAAGAAGGCCUUCGGAUUGUAAAGUACUUUCAGCGGGGAGGAAGGGAGUAAAGUUAAUACCUUUGCUCAUUGACGUUACCCUCAGAAGAAGCCCCGGCUAACUCCGUG
rnacentral:rRNA from 1 species